ACUGAACGCUGGCGGCAGGCUUAACACAUGCAAGUCGAGCGGAGAUGAGGUGCUUGCACCUUAUCUUAGCGGCGGACGGGUGAGUAAUGCUUAGGAAUCUGCCUAUUAGUGGGGGACAACAUUCCGAAAGGAAUGCUAAUACCGCAUACGCCCUACGGGGGAAAGCAGGGGAUCUUCGGACCUUGCGCUAAUAGAUGAGCCUAAGGCGGAUUAGCUAGUUGGUGGGGUAAAGGCCUACCAAGGCGACGAUCUGUAGCGGGUCUGAGAUGAUGAUCCGCCAAAGUGGGGCUGAGACACGGCCCAGACUCGGACGGGAGGUAGCAGUGGGGAAUGUUGGAGAAUGGGCGGAAGCCUGGUCCAGCCAUGCGGGGUGUGUGAAGAAGGCCUUUUAGUUGUAAAGCACUUUAAGCGAGGAGGAGGCUACCUGGAUUAAUACUAUAGGAUAGUGGACGUUACUCGCAGAAUAAGCACCGGCUAACUCUUUGCCAUCCGCCGCGGUAACAC
rnacentral:rRNA from 1 species